UACCUGGUUGAUCCAGUCAGUAGUCUAAUACUUGUCUCA
rnacentral:rRNA from 1 species